CGGACGUCCAAAGAAUUGUUAUGUAGCGUUUUUAGAACCAAUAAACAUGCACAGAGUGGAUCUAGCCGGCCUAAAGUGCAAUAAUAUGAUGACGUUUACAAGAUGAAUAAAUAACAUUGACUGACAACUGAAACCUUGAGAGAUCUUCGUUGACUGUAAACAUUCCAGCAGUUAAUCAAGUUAGAACACAGUCAGCACAACUGAACACCACAGAUCAGCAGGUGUUUGCAAAGACUGCCAGGAUUGAGGUUUGGACUAUAACUCCCCCAGCACCCUGACAGGAUUGAAGUAUAGGCUUUGACUCCCUCAUCACCCUGACAGGACUGAGGUAUGGUCCAUGACUCCCCCAUCACCCUG
rnacentral:lncRNA from 1 species